rnacentral:rRNA from 1 species
UACCGCAUACGUCCUACCGGGAGAAAAGACGGGCCUCUACACUAUGCUCGCACUCGAGGAUGAGCCCACGUCCGAUUAGCUAGUUGGUAGGGUAACGGCCUACCAAGGCCACGAUCGGUAGCUGGUCUGAGAGGAUGAUCAGCCACACUGGGACUGAGACACGGCCCAGACUCCUACGGGAGGCAGCAGUGGGGAAUAUGGGACAAUGGGCGCAAGCCUGAUCCAGCAAUGCCGCGUGUGUGAAGAAGGCCUGCGGGUUGUAAAGCACUUUCAGUGGGGAAGAACGGAUACGGGCCAAUACCCCGCAUCACUGACGUUACCCACAGAAGAAGCACCGGCUAACUCCGUG